CUACAGCAAGCAGAGAGGCAAGGCAGUUGCUGGAAGAAUUAAGUGCUUAGUUGAGGUUUUAGCUACUUAUUAUCAGAUUAGCAGAUGUUUGCGAGAUUACAGGACUACAAAUGAUUAUUGCCAUUAUCGACUGCUGCAUUAUAUUGCCAUGAACCACCAGACCUCAUCAGUGGACCCGCGUUUGAAAACCCCUGAUGUGUCUCUGAAAGCUGUCUGCAGUCCCAUCAGCGUGACAGUGAUGCAUCAUCUCUUAUCUUAAUUAGCAUAGAGAGAUCCACUUAUGAUCUCUUAAGACGAUCUCUUCAGUCAAGAUGAUUUCUCUCUUAGCUGAAGAGAACUUUUCCUAAGUAUCUCAUGCCAUUGAACCAGCGCUAUCGGACUUGUUUCAUAAUAGAAAGAGACAAUAUUCAAAAGGCUUUGAAAGAACUGAUGUUUCCAGCACAGUCAAAAUGAUUAGCCCUCCUGUGGAUUUUUUUUUCUUUUCCAAAUAUUUCCCCAAAUGAUGUUUAACAGAGCAAGAAAUUUUCACAGUAUUUCCUAUAAUAUUUUUUAUUCUGG